CUUUAACAUCUCUAGAGAGGCUAAAAAAUAUCAAUUGAGGGGUAAUUGUGAAAACAAAGCUUUUCCAGAAGCUUCUGCAACUGCCUGGGAAAAGCUUCUAGAAAAUGUAGAUAGGGGAAAAAGCAAGAAAGAAAAAAACUCAUCGGAAAUGGAGAAUAAUAGUAGUCCGUUGAAAGAGGUGAGAGAGAGGGAGAGAUGAUGAGUUUCCCCGAUCUUCAAGAGAUUGAACAUUGGCGGCAAACACUGAAUCCAUUGCCUUUGGAAAAGAAUCGAAGACCUUUUGUGGGUUUAGUGAAAGUUUGAUGGAGAUGAAGACCGACAAUGGGUUCCGACGUCGAACCAAUCCUUUAUCGAUUUUGCAGCUUCUGACAAAAAAUCUGAAUGGGCAUCUCAGCACUAUUCAGCACCUUUCCGAGCUCUUGAGUCGUGGGAUUGCCCAAGCCAUACAGAUAUUGAUGAGAGAACUGAUAUUUGGUCGUUGGGGUGCACUUUAUAUGCUAUAAUGUAAGAACUAAUACUUAUACAUGCACUUAUACAGUGUUUGCUUUCUUUUAAGAAACUUUUUUUUUUUUUUUAACUUUCUGUCCUUUUAUCAUCAUUCAUCAAGUUUUUUUGUUAAACAAUAUGGUAAGCAAAGUGUCUGGGCAAGUCUGUGGCUUGAAUCUCUUUAUUGGUUUCCUUCUGGCUUAAUCUAAGGAGUAGAUUUUAAGUAUUUGAUAUGAAAGUUCUAUAAUGCUAAAAACAGGGCUAUCGUAUUUUCAUGUAGUUGUCCAUUGGUGUCCAAACCAAGGACUCCUCUUGCAAUACCAAAAACACACAAUAACAACAAUAAGAAAAUUAGUUAAUAGUCACCUGCGUUUUAAGGGCAGGCCAUCCAGCCAGCUCUGCAGGAAUAAAAUGACAUCAAGACAGGCCUCUAGAUCACCGGUCAACUUGCAUACUUUGGGGUUGUAAAAAUGUGAGAAAAACAGGCCAAGAGCUCUUAUGGUCUCCACCAGACAUGCCUCUUCUCAUCCUUUUCAACCUUAAAACCAAUGCAAUUAAGUGAAGCAAUCUUCAUAUGGAUCAGAACAUUAUGAUUUAAAGGCUCAAAUAAAUUUUUAUUUUUCUGUUGGAAAUGAAUCAUUCCAAUGUAGUGUUUAAAUUUUCCAUGAUUUCAACAUCAUUCCAAUGCCCAUUGGGAACUGGCUUAAUUUGUUGUUGGUAGCGCUGAUCUUUGGGCACUUUGCUUUUCUUAAAUGUUGUGUGAAUCUCAAUCUUGUUGUCCUUUUGCAGUGUUGUAUAUUAAACAAGAUGAAUUUUCUUCCACCAGGUUUACAUUCCAAAUAUAGUUUAACUUUACAAGCAUAUUUUAUUUGAAAGAGAGUAUUGUUAUUUUUUUUAGGUGCCAUAAGGCAAAUAAAAUUGACUCCGAUGAGGCUGCAGUGACUUCAUUGCUACCUUGAUUUGGCCUAGGGAUCAACAAUUCACUAUUCAGGCAAUACUUGGGAGUGCAAGGAGUUCGAUUUUUUUGGAACUGUCUUCAGUAAUUCGGCAUAAACGAAUUACAAAAGGACUUAUGAUAGCUUGAAUAUGGUGGUGGUCUCCAAUUCUUCGGCUUGCCUGCUCCUGACUUAAGGCACGCCUGUGUAAGCUUCCAUGGCAAACCUGGAGUCAAGAUUAUUUUACUGCAGUAUUACAAAUCAACAACAUUGAGGGGAAUGGCAUGAUGGAACCCACUGGCCACUGCUUUCUUACGGUAAUGUUAGAGCAAUUGUUGACAAUUUGAUACAAACUACAAAUUUCAAAAGGUACAUCAAUCUUUCUCAUUUCAUGUAACAUUUUUUUCAUUGGCAUUUGUUAUUUGCCACUAUGCAACAUGCAAAAAAUAGAGAUAUAGUUAAGAAAAUUACGAGUCAUUUCAUAAUGGGAAAACUGAGUUGUUUCAUACCAUUUUAAUUGUUCAAUUCUUUAUUUUUUUAUUAUCAUUUUAAAUAUUCUCACAUUUUAUAAAUUAAUUUAAUUAAAUGUUAAUAAAAGUUCCGAAGCUCAGGCAUCUUUCUAGUAUAUAUAUAAAGAUAGGCUCUAAAAUAGAAAAAAUUAAGUCAUUUAAGUAUAGGAAAUAUGAAAACAAAACAAUUAAAUAAAGGAGUAUUUGAGAAAAUCAAUCCCAACUCAUAUACUGGAUACUCGUAGAUAGUUCUUCUAGUGGAGUAUCACCCAGUAUUAUUGUUUCUUUUGGUUGGACCUUAUUACAUAAUAUUUAUAGUGUUGAAAA